rnacentral:rRNA from 1 species
CGUGCCUAACACAUGCAAGUCGAACGAGAAAUUCCGACUUGUCGGAAGAGUAAAGUGGCGAACGGGUGAGUAGCGCGUGGGUAAUCUGCCCUUGAGUUCGGGAUAACUUCGCGAAAGCGGAGCUAAUACCGAAUAAAACUGGUCUUGUUCCGGCAAGAUCAGUUAAAAGAUGGCCUCUACAUGUAAGCUGUUGCUUAAGGAUGAGCCCGUGUACCAUUAGCUUGUUGGUAGGGUAAUGGCCUACCAAGGCAACGAUGGUUAGCUGGUCUGAGAGGAUGACCAGCCACACUGGAACUGAGACACGGUCCAGACUCCUACGGGAGGCAGCAGUGGGGGAUUUUGCGCAAUGGGGGAAACCCUGACGCAGCGACGCCGUGUGAGUGAUGAAGGCUUUCGGGUCGUAAAGCUCUGUCAGGUGGGAAGAAAUAUCCGGAUAUGAAUAGUAUCUGGGUUUGACGGUACCACCAGAGGAAGCACCGGCUAACUCCGUG